GAUGAACGCUAGCGGCAGGCUUAAUACAUGCAAGUCGAGGGACAGCACAGGUAGCAAUACUGGGUGGUAACCGGCAAACGGGUGCGGAACACGUACACAACCUUCCUUUAAGUGGGGGAUAGCCCAGAGAAAUUUGGAUUAAUACCCCGUAAUAUAGUUGAAUGGCAUCAUUUGAUUAUUAUAGCUACGGCGCUUAAUGAUGGUUGUGCGGCUGAUUAGAUAGUUGGCGGGGUAACGGCCCACCAAGUCUACGAUCAGUAGCUGAUGUUAGAGCAUGAUCAGCCACACGGGCACUGGGAGACGGGCACUACUCCUACGGGAGGCAGCAGUAAGGAAUAUUGGUCAAUGGACGCAAGUCUGAACCAGCCAUGCCGCGUGAAGGAUUAAGGUCCUCUGGAUUGUAAACUUCUUUUAUUUGGGACGAAAAAGGGCCUUUCUAGGUCAACUGACGGUACCAGAUGAAUAAGCACCGGCUAACUCCGUGCCAGCCGCCGCAGUAAGAC
rnacentral:rRNA from 1 species